rnacentral:rRNA from 1 species
UACGUAGGGGGCUAGCGUUGUCCGGAAUCAUUGGGCGUAAAGCGCGCGUAGGCGGCCCGGUAAGUCCGCUGUGAAAGUCAAAGGCUCAACCUUUGAAUGUCAGCGGAUACUGCCAGGCUAGAGUCCGGAAGAGGAGAGCGGAAUUCCUGGUGUAGCGGUGGAAUGCGCAGAUAUCAGGAAGAACACCCGUGGCGAAGGCGGCUCUCUGGGACGGUACUGACGCUGAGACGCGAAAGCGUGGGGAGCGAACAGG